CGUGAAAUGAAUCACAUUCAAAUACCCCCUUUAUUUGUUUGUGAAAUUUCUCCUUUUGAUUGCGCUGAAAAAAGCUGUAUCCUUAUGGAUGCAGCUUUUUUC
rnacentral:ncRNA from 1 species